rnacentral:rRNA from 1 species
GAUUUCUGGUUUGAUGCCCCUGAUCCGCGUCCUUCGGGGCGUGAGUGUCGGUGUGGCGUCUGCCAUCUUUUUUUUGUAAGUUUUCGUUGGGGCCUUUCGGGGUUUCAAUGGGUGCUUGCAAAAUAUUUUUACUUUGAAAAAAUUAGAGUGUUUAAAGCAGGCAUUUGCCAUUUGAAUACAUUAGCAUGGAAUAAUAAUAUAGGACUUUGGUUCUAUUUUGUUGGUUUCUAGUACUGAAGUAAUGAUUGAUAGGGAUAGUUGGGGGUGCUAGUAUUCAGCGGCCAGAGGUGAAAUUCUUGGAUUCGCUGA